rnacentral:rRNA from 1 species
AGCGAACGCUGGCGGCAGGCCUAACACAUGCAAGUCGAACGGACCCUUCGGGGUUAGUGGCGGACGGGUGAGUAACACGUGGGAACGUGCCUUUAGGUUCGGAAUAGCUCCUGGAAACGGGUGGUAAUGCCGAAUGUGCCCUUCGGGGGAAAGAUUUAUCGCCUUUAGAGCGGCCCGCGUCUGAUUAGCUAGUUGGUGGUGUAACGGACCACCAAGGCGACGAUCAGUAGCUGGUCUGAGAGGAUGAUCAGCCACAUUGGGACUGAGACGCGGACCAAACUCCUACGGGAGGCAGCAGUGGGGAAUCUUGCGCAAUGGACGAAAGCCUGACGCAGCCAUGCCGCGUGAAUGAUGAAGGUCUUAGGAUUGUAAAAUUCUUUCACCGGGGACGAUAAUGACGGUACCCGGAGAAGAAGCCCCGGCUAACUUCGUGCCAGACGCCGCCGUAAAAC